GAUGAACGCUGGCGGCGUGCCUAAUACAUGCAAGUCGAGCGAACAGACGAGGAGCUUGCUCCUCUGACGUUAGCGGCGGACGGGUGAGUAACACGUGGAUAACCUACCUAUAAGACUGGGAUAACUUCGGGAAACCGGAGCUAAUACCGGAUAAUAUAUUGAACCGCAUGGUUCAAUAGUGAAAGACGGUUUUGCUGUCACUUAUAGAUGGAUCCGCGCCGCAUUAGCUAGUUGGUAAGGUAACGGCUUACCAAGGCAACGAUGCGUAGCCGACCUGAGAGGGUGAUCGGCCACACUGGAACUGAGACACGGUCCAGACUCCUACGGGAGGCAGCAGUAGGGAAUAUUGGACAAUGGGUGAGAGCCUGAUCCAGCCAUCCCGCGUGCAGGAAGACGGCCCUAUGGGUUGUAAACUGCUUUUAUACAGGAAUAAACCUACUCACGUGUGAGUAGUUGAAGGUACUGUAAGAAUAAGCAUCGGCUAACUCCGUG
rnacentral:rRNA from 1 species